rnacentral:misc_RNA from 1 species
AAGGAUCAUUACAAAUCUUUUGCGAGUCUGCGUGCUUAACCGCCGCAGCUCACAACAUUAGCACAAGGCCGCAAGGUCUUGAUGUUUACGCUUGUUUGUUUGACAGAGUUAGUUGAGAAAUAAAUAAAGACAACUUUUAACAAUGGAUCUCUUGGCUCUU